AUUGAACGCUGGCGGCAGGCUUAACACAUGCAAGUCGAGCGGAAACGAUGAUAGCUUGCUAUCAGGCGUCGAGCGGCGGACGGGUGAGUAAUACUUAGGAAUCUACCUAGUAGUGGGGGAUAGCUCGGGGAAACUCGAAUUAAUACCGCAUACGACCUACGGGAGAAAGGGGGCAACUUGUUGCUCUCGCUAUUAGAUGAGCCUAAGUCGGAUUAGCUAGAUGGUGGGGUAAAGGCCUACCAUGGCGACGAUCUGUAGCUGGUCUGAGAGGAUGAUCAGCCACACCGGGACUGAGACACGGCCCGGACUCCUACGGGAGGCAGCAGUGGGGAAUAUUGGACAAUGGGGGCAACCCUGAUCCAGCCAUGCCGCGUGUGUGAAGAAGGCCUUUUGGUUGUAAAGCACUUUAAGCAGUGAAGAAGACUCCGUGGUUAAUACCCACGGACGAUGACAUUAGCUGCAGAAUAAGCACCGGCUAACUCUGUGCCAGCAGCCGCGGUAAUACAGAGGGUGCAAGCGUUAAUCGGAAUUACUGGGCGUAAAGCGAGCGUAGGUGGCUUGAUAAGUCAGAUGUGAAAUCCCCGGGCUUAACCUGGGAACUGCAUCUGAUACUGUUAGGCUAGAAUAGGUGAGAGGAAGGUAGAAUUCCAGGUGUAGCGGUGAAAUGCGUAGAGAUCUGGAGGAAUACCGAUGGCGAAGGCAGCCUUCUGGCAUCAUAUUGACACUGAGGUUCGAAAGCGUGGGUAGCAAACAGG
rnacentral:rRNA from 1 species